UUUUUAAGAGCUACAAGAUACAGAUCAAGAAUAGAAACAAGGCACAGAAACAAGCAAUCCAUGGCGGAAACCUUGAAGCGACAAAUGUUUCUGAACUCAGAUGAGAGAAGUUUGAGUCUAGCCAAUUAAACCAACUACCACUGAUUCACAUGAUAGGAAGUAUUCACACAAAACUCCAGCUGUUCCACUUGUAUCAAGUGAAAUCUCCGAAUUUUAUGCAAUAUAUGAACCAGAAGUAGCACGAGAGGAAAUAAGGGGAUCCCUCGCUGACUUCAAAAGACAUGAGUGACUCAGAUCAAAAACUUGCAUGAGAUUAUUUUACUCUUGGCAAUUUUAAGAGUUGCC
rnacentral:lncRNA from 1 species